AUUGAACGCUGGCGGCAGGCCUAACACAUGCAAGUCGAGCGAGCGGCGGACGGGGGAGUAAUGUCUGGGAAACUGCCUGAUGGGGGGGGGUAACUACUGGAAACGGUAGCUAAUACCGCAUACCAUCGGAUGUGCCCAGAUGGGAUUAGCUAGUAGGGGGGGUAACGGCUCACCUAGGCGACGAUCCCUAGCUGGUCUGAGAGGAGGACCAGCCACACGGGAACUGAGACACGGUCCAGACUCCUACGGGAGGCAGCAGGGGGGAAGAUUGCACAAUGGGCGCAAGCCUGAUGCAGCCAUGCGGCGUGUAUGAAGAAGGCCUUCGGGUUGUAAAGUACUUUCAGCGGGGAGGCGUUACCCGCAGAAGAAGCACCGGCUAACUCCGUGCCAGCAGCCGCGGUAAUUC
rnacentral:rRNA from 1 species